rnacentral:rRNA from 1 species
UUGGCUCAGGAUGAACGCUGGCGGCGCACAUAAGACAUGCAAGUCGAACGGAAGCCGUUAUAAAAAAGAUUGAAGAUUUAUCUGAUUGAAGUUUUAUAACAAUGACUUUAGUGGCGGACUGGUGAGUAAUACAUGAGCAACCUGCCUAUUAGAGGGGAACAACAGUUAGAAAUGACUGCUAAUACCGCAUAUGCCAUAUGAAUCACAUGGUUCAAGUGGGAAAGGAGCAAUCCGCUAAUAGAUGAGCUCAUGGCUGAUUAGCUAGUUGGUGGGGUAAUGGCCUACCAAGGCGACGAUCAGUAGCCGGACUGAGAGGUUAAACGGCCACAUUGGGACUGAGAUACGGCCCAGACUCCUACGGGAGGCAGCAGUGGGGAAUA